UACACAGGUGCUGGCAUGGCUGUCGUCAGCUCGUGUCGUGAGAUGUUGGGUUAAGUCCCGCAACGACGCGCAACCCCUGCAUUCAGUUGCCAUCGGUAAGGCCGGGCACUCUGGAUGGACUGCCGGCGACAAGCCGGAGGAAGGUGGGGACGACGUCAAGUCAUCAUGGCCCUUAUGUCCAGGGCGACACACGUGCUACAAUGGCCGGCACAACGGGAAGCGAAGGGGCGACCCUGAGCGGAUCCCACAAAAGCCGGUCCCAGUUCGGAUUGCAGUCUGCAACUCGACUGCAUGAAGUUGGAAUCGCUAGUAAUCGUGGAUCAGCCAAGCCGCGGUGAAUACGUUCCCGGGCCUU
rnacentral:rRNA from 1 species